rnacentral:miRNA from 1 species
AUAUUGAAAAUGGAAUAA